CCUACGGGCGGCAGCAGUGAGGAAUAUUGGUCAAUGGACGAGAGUCUGAACCAGCCAAGUAGCGUGAAGGAUGACUGCCCUAUGGGUUGUAAACUUCUUUUAUAUGGGAAUAAAAUGCUCCACGUGUGGGAUUUUGUGUGUACCAUAUGAAUAAGGAUCGGCUAACUCCGUGCCAGCAGCCGCGGUAAUACGGAGGAUCCGAGCGUUAUCCGGAUUUAUUGGGUUUAAAGGGAGCGUAGGUGGAUUGUUAAGUCAGUUGUGAAAGUUUGCGGGUCAACCGUAAAAUUGCAGUUGAACUUGGCAGUCUUGAGUACACGAGAGGUGGGCGGAAUUCGUGGUGUAGCGGUGAAAUGCAUAGAUAUCACGAAGAACUCCGAUUGCGAAGGCAGUUCACUGGACUGCAACUGACGCUGAGGCUCGAAAGUGUGGGUAUCAAACAGGAUUAGAUACCCCAGUAGUC
rnacentral:rRNA from 1 species